UAAGCGUGUAAGGGGGGCACCAGGCCAAGCUGUAGGAGAUCCCUCAGAUGCUGUGAAUAAAAGUUGAACAGAUUCCUUAUACAGAGGUGAAAAGAUACUGAUCAAAGUGUCAUAAAAACAAUGUUGACAGUAAUUACUGUUAUUCACUGUCCUUACAAAAUGAUGCCUGCUCACACCUGUGACAGCCAGCGUCGUCCCCACUCUGGAAUGGUGUGUGGAGUUACUCUUUCCAUUAAAGGUGUGUUAUGGCAUUGUUUCAUUUCUCCUCAGUGUCUGAAUGAGUCUGAACAAUGAUGAAAUGCCUCCCAGGGGAGUUGGCAGCUUUCUGAAGACUGAAGGAUUGUGGCAGGAUUUUGUAUUCCUGAAGCUGCUGCUGUUGGAAAGGAGAAGAAUCUUUCAUUCCCAUCUUAAAGGACUGAACUGUCUCUCAAGCUUUUAUAUGAUAUAUCAUUGUUAGCAAUGUCUCCAAGGCACUAAUAAUGAGAAUGCUCGCUAGCAUUGGCAUGGUAAAGUAAAAACUAUUAAUAAAUAAGACUAAGUCCAUCA
rnacentral:lncRNA from 1 species